rnacentral:rRNA from 1 species
GACGAACGCUGGCGGCGUGCUUAACACAUGCAAGUCGAACGAAGAGCGAUGGAAGCUUGCUUCUAUCAAUCUUAGUGGCGAACGGGUGAGUAACGCGUAAUCAACCUGCCCUUCAGAGGGGGACAACAGUUGGAAACGACUGCUAAUACCGCAUACGAUCUAAUCUCGGCAUCGAGGAUAGAUGAAAGGUGGCCUCUACAUGUAAGCUAUCACUGAAGGAGGGGAUUGCGUCUGAUUAGCUAGUUGGAGGGGUAACGGCCCACCAAGGCGAUGAUCAGUAGCCGGUCUGAGAGGAUGAACGGCCACAUUGGGACUGAGACACGGCCCAGACUCCUACGGGAGGCAGCAGUGGGGAAUCUUCCGCAAUGGACGAAAGUCUGACGGAGCAACGCCGCGGGAGGGAUGACGGCCUUCGGGUUGUAAAGCUCUGUUAAUCGGGACGAAAGGCCUUCUUGCGAACAGUUAGAAGGAUUGACGGUACCGGAAUAGAAAGCCACGGCUAACUACGUG